rnacentral:rRNA from 1 species
UCUGCAGGUGGUUUCUUAAGUCUACUGUUAAAUCUUGAGGCUCAACCUCAAAUCUGCAGUAGAAACUAGGAGACUUGAGUAUGGGUAGGGGUAAAGGGAAUUUCCAGUGGGGCGGUGAAAUGCGUAGAUAUUGGAAAGAACACCAACAGCGAAGGCACUUUACUGGGCCAGUACUGACACUCAGAGACGAAAGCUAGGGGGAGCAAACA